ensembl:lncRNA novel transcript
UGGCAUCAGUCCUCUGUGGGCAAAGGCUGAAGAUGACAGGCAUGUGAGAAUAUAGGCAGACACACUCCCUGCCAUGUGCAGAAAGCCAGUCUGCAGUGAGAGCAAAGAUGAGAGGUGGAGAAACAGGCCUGGUGGCGUCUGAGACACUGCUUCUAGUUGUUCUGAGGCUUGGCUGCCCCUUGCCUUUCCCAUGCAUGGUUUGGUUCUUAAACAGUUUGUUGUAUUUCCGGAACCAUCAAGUGUCCCUUUUUGUGUAAGGUUGUCCAAGUUGGCUUUGAACAUUUGCAACCAAAAGAGGUCUGACUCAUUUAGAAAUCCUGGGCAAAUCGCCCUCGCAGUUCCUCCAUUUCCUGAUUUAUAAAAUGAUGCGGAAACCAUCAUGAGGGAGUGGAUAAGGGGACUGUGAACUGUUCGCUGGAGUUAAGGCCUCCAGCCCCAUCCCAAAGCCAGCACUGCUUGAGCCUCAGAGGAGAGAUCCAUGUAGCCACCACUGAGAACUUCAGACCAGAAGAGACAAGCAGAGAUACUGCAACGCACUCAUCCAGAGCAGAGGAACCCUAUUUUGAGUUUACCUAUAGGACCUUAUAACAGGCAAACAUAUGAUGUCUUCAUAGUAUUAGAAAUAAUGAAAUGAAGGACUAUAUCAGUGACCUCCUGAAAGGUUAACUGGAAAUCUCAGGAUUAAUCUUUCUCAUUUUCUGUUAAAAUGCAAAUCCCCGGGUUGGAAUAAUGAUUGAACAUUGUUUGUUAGUUACACCUUAAUGAAUGGGGUUAUUAGGGUUUAAGAGAAUGAGGUCAUUGGGGUUUAUUAAACCAUCAAGGGAGAGAACUAAGAGGGGACCCUGAGAUGCCCAGUAAGGCAAAUAUUUGGAGAUAAGUUUCAUUUCACCCCUACUUGGCCUCCACAAGGCCUGCACACUUAAAUAUUGGUUUGAGAGAAUUCUGAAGUCAGAGUGGCAGACCAUGCUGGUCACACCCAAUGGCCCGAUCCUGCUACAGGAACACAAUUUCACUCAUGAGUGGGACACCCCCUGACUCUGGCUACAGGGGAAGAGCACGGUUCCAUGCCAUUUCCCUUUGCCAGUGAUUGUUUCGGUGAUGAAUGUGUAAGCCAUUUCUGGCCAAUGGGAUAUAAGGGCGUUUAAUCUCACCCCUCUCUUGUAAGGAGAGGAGGAACUUCCUUCUUCACUCCAGCCUGCCUCCACACAUGGUUCUGUGAAGAUGUAACAUUUGGUUUGUGACAGCCAUCUUGUGACCACAAAGAAAAACCGCAAUAAGCCUUGGCAUCACCACGGGGCUGAAUUAACCCACCCAGGGGCCCCUGACCUCUAGACUUCUCGUUAUGAGAAAUGAUAAAUCCUAUUAUU